GACUCGUCACACUAUCAUUAACUGAAUCCAUAGGUUAAUGAGGCGAACCGGGGGAACUGAAACAUCUAAGUACCCCGAGGAAAAGAAAUCAACCGAGAUUCCCCCAGUAGCGGCGAGCGAACGGGGAGGAGCCCAGAGCCUGAAUCAGCAUGUGUGUUAGUGGAAGCGUCUGGAAAGGCGCGCGAUACAGGGUGACAGCCCCGUACACAAAAGCGCAUGUGCUGUGAGCUCGAUGAGUAGGGCGGGACACGUGGUAUCCUGUCUGAAUAUGGGGGGACCAUCCUCCAAGGCUAAAUACUCCUGACUGACCGAUAGUGAACCAGUACCGUGAGGGAAAGGCGAAAAGAACCCCGGCGAGGGGAGUGAAAAAGAACCUGAAACCGUGUACGUACAAGCAGUGGGAGCACCCUUUGGGGUGUGACUGCGUACCUUUUGUAUAAUGGGUCAGCGACUUAUAUUCUGUAGCAAGGUUAACCGAAUAGGGGAGCCGGAGGGAAACCGAGUCUUAACCGGGCGUUAAGUUGCAGGGUAUAGACCCGAAACCCGGUGAUCUAGCCAUGGGCAGGUUGAAGGUUGGGUAACACUAACUGGAGGACCGAACCGACUAAUGUUGAAAAAUUAGCGGAUGACCUGUGGCUGGGGGUGAAAGGCCAAUCAAACCGGGAGAUAGCUGGUUCUCCCCGAAAGCUAUUUAGGUAGCGCCUCGUGAAUUCAUCUCCGGGGGUAGAGCACUGUUUCGGCUAGGGGGCCAUCCCGGCUUACCAACCCGAUGCAAACUGCGAAUACCGGAGAAUGUUAUCACGGGAGACACACGGCGGGUGCUAACGUCCGUCGUGAAGAGGGAAACAACCCAGACCGCCAGCUAAGGUCCCAAAGUCAUGGUUAAGUGGGAAACGAUGUGGGAAGGCCCAGACAGCCAGGAUGUUGGCUUAGAAGCAGCCAUCAUUUAAAGAAAGCGUAAUAGCUCACUGGUCGAGUCGGCCUGCGCGGAAGAUGUAACGGGGCUAAACCAUGCACCGAAGCUGCGGCAGCGACGCUGAUGCGUUGUUGGGUAGGGGAGCGUUCUGUAAGCCUGCGAAGGUGGCCUGUGAGGGUUGCUGGAGGUAUCAGAAGUGCGAAUGCUGACAUAAGUAACGAUAAAGCGGGUGAAAAGCCCGCUCGCCGGAAGACCAAGGGUUCCUGUCCAACGUUAAUCGGGGCAGGGUGAGUCGACCCCUAAGGCGAGGCCGAAAGGCGUAGUCGAUGGGAAACGGGUUAAUAUUCCCGUACUUGGUGUUACUGCGAAGGGGGGACGGAGAAGGCUAUGUUGGCCGGGCGACGGUUGUCCCGGUUUAAGCGUGUAGGUGUGUGUUCCAGGUAAAUCCGGUUCACUUUAACACUGAGGCGUGAUGACGAGGCACUACGGUGCUGAAGCAACAAAUGCCCUGCUUCCAGGAAAAGCCUCUAAGCAUCAGGUAACAUCAAAUCGUACCCCAAACCGACACAGGUGGUCAGGUAGAGAAUACCAAGGCGCUUGAGAGAACUCGGGUGAAGGAACUAGGCAAAAUGGUGCCGUAACUUCGGGAGAAGGCACGCUGACACGUAGGUGAAGUGAUUUACUCAUGGAGCUGAAGUCAGUCGAAGAUACCAGCUGGCUGCAACUGUUUAUUAAAAACACAGCACUGUGCAAACACGAAAGUGGACGUAUACGGUGUGACGCCUGCCCGGUGCCGGAAGGUUAAUUGAUGGGGUCAGCGCAAGCGAAGCUCCUGAUCGAAGCCCCGGUAAACGGCGGCCGUAACUAUAACGGUCCUAAGGUAGCGAAAUUCCUUGUCGGGUAAGUUCCGACCUGCACGAAUGGCGUAAUGAUGGCCAGGCUGUCUCCACCCGAGACUCAGUGAAAUUGAACUCGCUGUGAAGAUGCAGUGUACCCGCGGCAAGACGGAAAGACCCCGUGAACCUUUACUAUAGCUUGACACUGAACAUUGAGCCUUGAUGUGUAGGAUAGGUGGGAGGCUUUGAAGUGUGGACGCCAGUCUGCAUGGAGCCGACCUUGAAAUACCACCCUUUAAUGUUUGAUGUUCUAACGUGGACCCGUGAUCCGGGUUGCGGACAGUGUCUGGUGGGUAGUUUGACUGGGGCGGUCUCCUCCUAAAGAGUAACGGAGGAGCACGAAGGUUGGCUAAUCCUGGUCGGACAUCAGGAGGUUAGUGCAAUGGCAUAAGCCAGCUUGACUGCGAGCGUGACGGCGCGAGCAGGUGCGAAAGCAGGUCAUAGUGAUCCGGUGGUUCUGAAUGGAAGGGCCAUCGCUCAACGGAUAAAAGGUACUCCGGGGAUAACAGGCUGAUACCGCCCAAGAGUUCAUAUCGACGGCGGUGUUUGGCACCUCGAUGUCGGCUCAUCACAUCCUGGGGCUGAAGUAGGUCCCAAGGGUAUGGCUGUUCGCCAUUUAAAGUGGUACGCGAGCUGGGUUUAGAACGUCGUGAGACAGUUCGGUCCCUAUCUGCCGUGGGCGCUGGAGAACUGAGGGGGGCUGCUCCUAGUACGAGAGGACCGGAGUGGACGCAUCACUGGUGUUCGGGUUGUCAUGCCAAUGGCACUGCCCGGUAGCUAAAUGCGGAAGAGAUAAGUGCUGAAAGCAUCUAAGCACGAAACUUGCCCCGA
rnacentral:rRNA from 2 species